rnacentral:rRNA from 1 species
GACGAACGCUGGCGGCGUGCUUAACACAUGCAAGUCGAGCGGUAAGGCCCUUCGGGGUACACGAGCGGCGAACGGGUGAGUAACACGUGGGUGACCUGCCCUCCACUUCGGGAUAAGCCUGGGAAACUGGGUCUAAUACCGGAUAGGACCACUGGAUGCAUGUCUGGUGGUGGAAAGUUUUUUCGGUGGGGGAUGGGCCCGCGGUCUAUCAGCUUGUUGGUGGGGUGAUGGCCUACCAAGGCGACGACGGAUAGCCGGCCUGAGAGGGUGAUCGGCCACACUGGGACUGAGACACGGCCCAGACUCCUACGGGAGGCAGCAGUGGGGAAUCUUGCGCAAUGGGCGGAAGCCUGACGCAGCAACGCCGCGUGAGGGAUGACGGCCUUCGGGUUGUAAACCUCUUUCGCGAUCGACGAAGCCCUUUGGGGUGACGGUAGGUGGAGAAGAAGCACCGGCUAACUACGUGCCAGCCGCCGCGGUAAAAC